rnacentral:rRNA from 1 species
GACGAACGCUGGCGGCGUGCCUAAUACAUGCAAGUCGAGCGAGCGGCGGACGGGUGAGUAAUGUAUGGGGACUGCCCGAUAGAGGGGGAUAACUACUGGAAACGGUGGCUAAUACCGCAUACUAUCGGAAAACCCAUAUGGGAUUAGCUAGGAGGUGGGGUAAAGGCUCACCUAGGCGACGAACUCUAGCUGGUCUGAGAGGAUGAUAGGCCAUCCUGGGCCUGAGACACGGCCCGGACUCCUACGGUGGCAGCGGUGUGGACUAUUGCACAAUGGGCGCAAGCCUGAUGCAGCCAUGCCACGUGUAUGAAGAAGGCCUUAGGGUUGUAAAGUACUUUCAGCGGGGAGGCGUUACCCGCAGAAGAAGCACCGGCUAACUCCGUGCCAGCAGCCGCGGUAAUUC